UCUCAACUAUCAUGAAAGAUUUGGUCUGUAUGUAAUGUAUUUUAUGACUAAAUGAAGACAAUAGUGGGA